CAGUAGCCACGGUAAUACGUAGGUGGCAAGCGUUGUCCGGAAUUAUUGGGCGUAAAGGGCUCGCAGGCGGUUUCUUAAGUCUGAUGUGAGAGCCCCCGGCUCAACCGGGGAGGGUCAUUGGAAACUGGGAAACUUGAGUGCAGAAGAGGAGAGUGGAAUUCCACGUGUAGCGGUGAAAUGCGUAGAGAUGUGGAGGAACACCAGUGGCGAAGGCGACUCUCUGGUCUGUAACUGACGCUGAGGAGCGAAAGCGUGGGGAGCGAACAGGAUUAGAUACCCCUGUAGUCCCUGUCUCUUAUAC
rnacentral:rRNA from 1 species